AACGAACGCUGGCGGCAUGCCUAACACAUGCAAGUCGAACGAACCUUUCGGGGUUAGUUGCGGACGGGUGAGUAACACGUGGGAACGUGCCGUUAGGUACGGAAUAACUCAGGGAAACUUGUGCUAAUACCGAAUGUGUCCUUCGGGAGAAAGAUUAAUCGCCUUUAGAGGGGCCCGCGUCUGAUUAGCUAGUUGGUUGAGGAAAUGGCUCACCAAGGCCACGAUCAGUAGCUGGCAUGAGAGAAUGAACAGCCACAUUGGGACUGAGACACGGCCCGAACUCCUACGGGAGGCAGAAGUGGGGAAUCUUGCGAAAUGGGCGAAAGCCUGACGCACCCAUGCCGCGUGAAUGAUGACGGUUUUAGGAUGGUAAAAUUAUUUCACCGGGGAGGAUAUUGACGUUACUCGGAAAAAAGGCCCCGCUUAAUUCGUU
rnacentral:rRNA from 1 species